AAUCAACGCUGGCGGCGUGCCUCAGACAUGCAAGUCGAACGAUUAAGACUUCCUUCGGGAAGUGCAUAAAGUGGCGCACGGGUGAGUAACACGUAAGUAAUCUACCUUCGAGUGGGGAAUAACGUUCGGAAACGAACGCUAAUACCGCAUAAUGCAGCGGCAUCGCAAGAUGACAGUUGUUAAAGGAAUUUAUUUCGCUUGAAGAGGAGCUUGCGGCAGAUUAGCUAGUUGGUAAGGUAACGGCUUACCAAGGCUACGAUCUGUAUCCGGUCUAAGAGGACGGUCGGACACACUGACACUGAAUAACGGGUCAGACUCCUACGGGAGGCAGCAGUCGGGAAUUUGGGCAAUGGGCGAAAGCCUGACCCAGCAACGCCGCGUGAAGGAUGAAGUAUUUCGGUAUGUAAACUUCGAAAGAAUGGGAAGAAUAAAUGACGGUACCAUUUAUAAGCUCCGGCUAACUACGUGCCAGCAGCCGCGGUAAU
rnacentral:rRNA from 1 species